UCAUGUUUGAGGUCUCAAUGUAAUUAGCACAGUAAUCUGCAAAAAGAAGCUUCUGGAAGACAGACUCUCUCCUUGGACUUUGCAUUGAAUCUAAAUCGAAGAGGUGCAUUUCUUUAGCAGGUUACUUUUUGUUCAUUGGCUCCAGCCACAUUUGGAUAUUCAUCUUGUGAAAAUCGGACUAUCUUUGGUUUCACUUUGUGAAGUACCUGAGGGGAAAAAAAAUAGACAUUUAUAUUAAUCUGAACCAUCAAUCCAUCAAACUGUCCCAAUCUCAUCAUUUAAGAAAUAUCUAAAAAUUCCACACCAUAAAGCUUUCUUGAUAAUUUGAUAUGCAAUUCACAUGAAUCCUUUUCAAAAAGCACAUUACAUACUGCCUGAACAAAUUCUUAUUCUAGCGAUAUUGAAUCUUAAUGAUAAUGAACAAAUUUCCCUGCCCAACUGAGUCGAUCCACUCCCUUAUUCCCCAUACACUUUGACCUGACCCUUUCUUCUUCUUGCUGCAGAUCUGCCUUUCCCUUUCACUGUUUAUCUUUUGGAACUCCCAUUUUUAAAUAACAAACUUCUCCAAACUUGAGAUUUUCUCAUCUCUUGCUCCUCACAUCUUCUGAAACUUAUUGAAAUUUGGUUUCUCCUAUAUGAAUCUUGGAUGAUCCUUUCUAGUACUAUUUAUACUUUUUCUCAUCUCCCCAAUUUGUGUGUCCUACUGGGAAUAUUAAUGUUCUUUGUUCCCUAUUAACACUUUCAAAUUCUUGUUCUACUACCAUUACUCAGAAAAUGCUUUUCUGAGGUUCAUUCUAUUGAAAUCCAUAACCCAUUUAGAAUUUAAAAAUUAAUAUUAAUGGGGAAGCUAGUUGGUGUAAUAGAUAGAGCAUCAGUUCUGAAAUCAAGAGCACCCGAGUUCAAAUCUGGCCUCAGAAAUUUAACACUUCCUAACUGUGUGAGACCUUUGACAAGUCACUUAACCCCAAUUGCCUCAGCAAAAAAAAAUAGAUUUGGCAAAGUCAAAAAAGAAAACAACUCCUUGAAAAACAGAAUUUGUGAAAUGGAAAAAAGAUCCCAUGAGCAAAACAACUCAUUUAAAAGUUCAAUUGGUCAAAUGUAAAGGAAAAUAAAAAUCUAACUAAAGAAAAUAAUUCACUAAAAAUUAGAAUUGAACAAAUGCAAGUAAAUGACUCAAUGAGACAUCAAGAAUUAGUCAAGCAAAAUCAAAAAAAAAAUGAAAAAAUGGAAGAAAAUGUAAAAUACCUCAUCAGAAAAACAACUGACCUGGAAAAUAGAUCUAGGAGAGACAAUCUAAGAAUUACUGGACUAUUUAAAAACCAUCUUUCAAGAAAUCAUCAAAAUAAAACUAUGCUGGUGUGCUAUUACCAGAGGAUAAAAUAGCCAUUGAAAGAAUCCACUGAUUACCUCCUGAAAAAGAACCCAAAAUGAAAACUCCAAGGAAUAUCAUAGCUAAAUUUCAUAAUUACCAGAUAAAGGAGAAAAUAUGGUAAUCAACUAGAAAGAAACAAUUCAAAUAUUCAGGAGCCACAAUCAGGAUUACUCAGGACCAAGCAGCUUCUAUUUUUAAGGAUCAAAUGGCCUGGAAUAUGACAUUCCCAAGGGCAAAGGUGUUUGGAUUGCAACCAAAAAUCAACUAUCCAGAAAAAUUAAACACUAUUUUUCAGGGGGAAAAAAGAUGGACAUUCAAUGAAAUAGGUGAAUUGCAUUUAUUUUUGAUGAAAAGGCCAGAGAUGAACAUAAAAUUUGAUCUUCAAAUACAGAACUUAAGAGAAGUAUAAAAAGAUGAAAAGGAAAAGAAAAAACACUAUUUUAAAGGUUAAAAUGUUUACAUCCCUACAUGGGAAGAUGAUAUAUGUAACUCUUGAGAAUUGUAUCUUUUGCCAAAAUGUUUGUAGCAGCCCUGUUUGUAGUGGCUAGAAACUGGAAAAUGAAUGGAUGCCCAUCAAUUGGAGAAUGGCUGGGUAAAUUGUGGUAUAUGAAUGUUAUGGAAUAUUAUUGCUCUGUAAGGAAUGACCAGCAGGAUGAAUACAGAGAGGCUUGGAGAGACCUACAUGGACUGAUGCUAAGUGAGAUGAGCAGAACCAGGAGAUCAUUAUACACUUCGACAACGAUAUUGUAUGUGGAUGUAUUCUGAUGGAAGUGGAUUUCUCUGACAAAGAGACUUAACUGAGUUUCAUUGGAUAAAUGAUGGACAGAAACAGCUACACCCAAAGAAGGAAUACUGGGAAAUGAAUGUGAACUAUUUGCAUUUUUGAUUUUCUUCCCGAGUUAUUUUUACCUUCUGAAUCCAAUUCUCCCUGUGCAGCGAGAGAACUGUUCGGUUCUGCAAAUAUGUAUUGUAUCUAGGAUAUACUGCAACAUAUUUAACAUAUAUAGGACUGCUUGCCAUCUUGGGGGGGGAGGAGGAAGGGAGGGGAAAAAACGAAACAUAAGUGAUUGCAAGGGAUAAUGUUGUGUAAAAAUUAUCCUGGUAUGGAUUCUGUCAAUACAAAGUUAUUAUUAAAUAAAAUUAAAUUAAAAAAAAAAAGAGAAUUGUAUCUUUGUUAGGGAUAUACUUAGAGGGUAUAAGUAUAAUUUGACUUUAUUGUAAAAAUGUAAAAAAGAAACUAGGAUUAAAAAAAACUUAAAAAGAAACUAGGGAUGGAAAAGGGAUUGUACUAAAAGAGGAGGAAAGGGGAAGUAAAAUGGGGAAAAUUACAUCACAUGAAGAGGCAAAAAAAAAAAAAAACAAAAAACAAAAAACAAAAACACCCUUUACAAUUGAGAGGAGAUGAGCAUUGUGUGAACCUUAAUCUCAUUGGAUUUGGCUCAGAGAGAGAAUAUCAGAUAAGAAAAACUUGUCUCACACUAUAGGGAAGUAGAAGAGGAAAGGGAAAAGAAAAGGGGAGACUAACAGAAGGGAGAACAGAAGAUGACAGGGAAAAUGAUAAGAAACAGGGGAAGGACUGUAGAAGGGGUGGCUGUUUGAGGGAGAUAGUGGUCAGAAGCAAAACAUUGGGAAAGAGGAAAAAGGAGAAAGAGAAAAGUAUAACUUGAGGAAAAUAAGAUGGCAGGAAAUACAAAGUAAUUUUAACUGUGAAUGUGAAUGGAAUGAAAUCUCCCAUAAAAUAUAAGCAGAUGGCAGACUGGAUUAAAAGCCAGAAUCCUAUAAUAUGUUGUUUAUAAGAAACACAUUUAAAGCAGAGUGAUACAUACAGAGUAAAGGUAAAAGGCUGGAGAAGAAUCUAUUAUGUUUCAGCUGAAGUAAAAAAAUCAGGGGUAGCCAUCCUGAUUUCAGAUCAAGCAAAAGCAAAAAUUGAUCUAAUUAAAAGAGAUAAACUACAUUUUGCUAAAGGGAACCAUAGAUAAUGAAGUAAUAUCAAUACUAAACUUAUACACACAAGUAGUAUAGCAUCCAAAUUCCUAGAAGAGAAGAGAGUUGCAAGAAGAAACAAACACUAGAUCUAAUUUUGGUGACCUUAUCAGCUCCCAUUAGUCUAAUUACAC